AGAGCGAACGCUGGCGGCAGGCUUAACACAUGCAAGUCGAACGGACUCUUCGGAGUUAGUGGCGGACGGGUGAGUAACACGUGGGAACGUGCCUUUAGGUUCGGAACAACACAGGGAAACUUGUGCUAAUACCGGAUAAGCCUUUCGAGGGAAAGAUUUAUCGCCUUUAGAGCGGCCCGCGUCUGAUUAGCUAGUUGGUGAGGUAAAGGCUCACCAAGGCUACGAUCAGUAGCUGGUCUGAGAGGAUGGCCAGCCACAUUGGGACUGAGACACGGCCCAAACUCCUACGGGAGGCAGCAGUGGGGAAUCUUGCGCAAUGGGCGAAAGCCUGACGCAGCCAUGCCGCGUGGAUGAUGAAGGUCUUAGGAUUGUAAAAUCCUUUCAGCGGGGACGAUAAUGACGGUACCGCAGAAGAAGCCCCGGCUAACUUCGCGCCAGCAGCCGC
rnacentral:rRNA from 1 species